AGAUUGAACGCUGGCGGCAGGCCUAACACAUGCAAGUCGAGCGGCAGCACGGGUACUUGUACCUGGUGGCGAGCGGCGGACGGGUGAGUAAUGCCUAGGAAUCUGCCUGAUAGUGGGGGAUAACGUUCGGAAACGGACGCUAAUACCGCAUACGUCCUACGGGAGAAAGUGGGGGAUCUUCGGACCUCACGCUAUCAGAUGAGCCUAGGUCGGAUUAGCUAGUUGGUAGGGUAAAGGCCUACCAAGGCUACGAUCCGUAACUGGUCUGAGAGGAUGAU
rnacentral:rRNA from 1 species